rfam:Arabidopsis thaliana chromosome 3, complete sequence.
UGGAUGAAGAUAGAGCAGUGGAGUUCGACACUAGCAUGUAUCACUUUGGUGAACAUGUACCUCCAGCGAGGCAGAGCAAGAGCUUGACUGAAGCUUAUAAGAACAACAGUAAAUUGCAGAGGUGGUGCAAGAAGCAGGACAAGCUGCUCGCCAAGUGUUUCAAGGCUAUCAAGCUUCUGACAGAUAAGUUGAGUUGUUCCUCCUCCACCACUGCUAUUCCA